UACGGAGGGUGCGAGCGUUGUCCGGAAUUGUUGGGCGUAAAGCGCGCGCAGGCGGGCCUUUAAGUCUGAUGUGAAAGCCCACGGCUCAACCGUGGAGGGUCAUUGGAAACUGGGGGACUUGAGUACAGAAGAGAAGAGUGGAAUUCCACGUGUAGCGGUGAAAUGCGUAGAGAUGUGGAGGAACACCAGUGGCGAAGGCGACUCUGUGGUCUGUAACUGACGCUGAGGCGCGAAAGCGUGGGGAGCAAACAGG
rnacentral:rRNA from 1 species